UACCAGCACCCCGAGUGGUCGGGACGUUUAUUGGGCCUAAAGCAUCCGUAGCCGGUUCUACAAGUCUUCCGUUAAAUCCACCUGCUUAACAGAUGGGCUGCGGAAGAUACUAUAGAGCUAGGAGGCGGGAGAGGCAAGCGGUACUCGAUGGGUAGGGGUAAAAUCCGUUGAUCCAUUGAAGACCACCAGUGGCGAAGGCGGCUUGCCAGAACGCGCU
rnacentral:rRNA from 1 species